rnacentral:rRNA from 1 species
GAUGAAUGCUGGCGGCGUGCCUAAUACAUGCAAGUCGAGCGGUAAGGCCCUUCGGGGUACACGAGCGGCGGACGGCUGAGUAACGCGUGGGAACAUGCCCCAAAGUGAGGGAUAAGCACCGGAAACGGUGUCUAAUACCGCAUAUGGUCUUCGGAUUAAAGGAUUUAUCCGCUUUGGGAGUGGCCCGCGUACGAUUAGUUUGUUGGUGAGGUAAUGGCUCACCAAGACUACGAUCGUUAACUGGUCUGAGAGGAUGAUCAGUCAGACUGGAACUGAGACACGGUCCAGACUCCUACGGGAGGCAGCAGUAAGGAAUCUUCCACAAUGGGCGAAAGCCUGAUGGAGCAACGCCGCGUGCAGGAUGAAGGCCCUCGGGUCGUAAACUGCUUUUAUGAGUGAAGAAUAUGACGGUAACUCAUGAAUAAGCACCGGCUAACUACGUG